rnacentral:lncRNA from 1 species
GUCGGGUUUUGUAUUAUUGUUCGAUUGAUAUCGCGAAAUAUUUGAUGUAUAACUAUGAUGGAAAAGUAAUGUAAUCUUUAUUGUAACUAUUGUAAAUAUAUGACUAGACUGUGUGAACCAGAAUAAAAUGUAGUUAGCAGACUGGAUUGUCUUUUAAAGGUCCCGUUGUCAUGCCGAGUCCAAGCUAGUUCCCAAACAAUGUAACAUCAAUGUGAGCAGUUCCCCGCAAAAAGAAUCGAUAAAACCAUGAGAGAAAGACUACAACACGAAUCACAAAAACGGGACCAAGUUCCCGCAUAAUAUAUUUUGGUGGAGGCGAAGUGGUAAAAUCAUCGGUACCUACAACAAUGAACAACAUGUAAAGAUGGACUUCGGCACAGUUCGACAAAUUACAACUUGCAGUCAACUGAUGGACAACUAAAGAAAAGAACAGGACAACAUAAUAAUAUCAAGAGAACAACAUGGCUGAACCACAUGGUAAUGUACAUUUUAAUUAUUUUAACAUUAAUAACACCUCCUAUGUACAAUGGUUCGGGUAACCCGUCAAAUUGGUUAUUAUACUUUAGAAAAUGGAUAAAAAUUAAUUCAAUAUUAAAUGAAAAUGCUUGUCAUUACUUGCCGUUUUAUUUGAAAGAAUCAGCUAAAGUUUGGUUUGAUGGUUUAAAUGAAAAUAUUCAAAAUAGUACAGAAAAUUUAGAAAUAGGUUUAGUUGAACGUUUUUCAAGAGAUGAAGACGAUAUUGAAUUAGAUGUAAAACAAAAGGAAAAUGAAUCUGUUUUAGAAUUUUUCGACAGACUAAGAAUAAUUGCAAAGGAUUUAGAAAUACCUGAAAAUUUAGAAUUCAUCAUGGGUAAAAAGGGAUUACUACCUAAAUUAAAUACUAGUAUAACUUUGAGUAACCCGAAAAAUCUAAAUGAAUUAAAGCAAGCGGCAAUAAUAGCUGAAAAAUGUGCUAACGUACGUAAAACAAUAAAAGAUUCUGAUUGCUUCAAAUCUAAAUGUAAUAAAGCAAAAUAAAGAUCUAGAUGAAAUAACUGAGAAAAUAGAAACAUUAAAUUCAAAAAUUAAAGAACAGAUGCCACAGUUAAGUGAGUAUAGAAAUAACAAAGUCAAUAUAAUAACAAAGCAAAAUUAUGUUUGUAAAUAUUGUGGUAUGUCAUAUUACCAUAAAAACCAUAAAUGUAAAGCAAGAAAUAAAGAAUGCUUUAAUUGUAAAAAAGUAGGACAUUUAGCAAGAGUUUGUUUCACUAAAUCUUAUAGAAAUGUGGUAAAAACUAAAAGCUUUUAAAAGUAGACAGAAACCACACAAGAAGAAGAGAGAAAACAUUUAUAUAAAUUUAAUGACUAAUAUUGAAGGAAACACUGUAAAUGUUGAUAUAUUAGGAAUUAAAACAAAAGGAUUGAUUGAUACAGGAGCUGCUGUAUCCUGUAUUUCAAGUUACUUAUUCAAUAAACUAGAUAAAACUAAAAUAAAAGUAAACUUGUCAAGGAUAAACAAUGUGUAUGGUGUGGGCGGCGAAGGAAUUUCUGUCAAAGGACAAGUAAAAAAAACUUCCACUUAAAUUUGAUAAAGAGCCAGUUGUUUACCAGAAUUUUUACAUAAUUGAUAAAAUUCAACACUCUUUAAUAAUUGGAAAUGACUUUUUGGAAUAUAAUAAAGCUAACAUUAAUUAUCCUACUAAAACUUUAAACUUGUAUGAUGGAAUUGCACAGAUCGCACUCAUAAGUACUAGACAAAAUGAAGCUAAAACUCUAAAACACAUUGAGCUUCCAGCUAGGAAAAUAAGCAUUAUUCCUGUUAAAAUUCCUAAACAAUAUAUAGGGAAGCAAAUAAUACUUGAACCUAGUCAGUCUUUGCAAAAUAAAAGCAUUGUAGGUGCUGCUUGUCUUGUGUCGUCUUCAACCCAACAAGCAGUAAUGCAAGUCAUAAACCAAAUGAAGAUAAAGUGGUGCUAAACAGAAAUGAAAUUGUUGCUUUAAUAUCAGAAAUACAAACCUAACUCUAUUCAAAAUUGGUCUGAUAAAACUGAAAAAUUUCAUAUAAAUAACAUUGAAAAGGGUCAUAAAAAGCAAAAACAAAAAUUUAAACAUUGAUCUUUCUGAAGCAGACUUAACAAAUGAUCAAAAGGAAAAAUUAAGAAAAUUUGUUGAUAAAAAUAGGAAUGUGUUUGCAACAGAUUUGUCUGAAAUUGGCAUGACAGAUGUACACUUUCAUGAAAUUGACACAGGGAACAACCCUCCUGUAAGUUUACCCCAACAUAGAGCUGCACCCAAUAUUAGAACAGAGAUUGAAAGACAAGUUGAAGAGAUGUUGAAGUACAAAAUUAUUGAGCCUUCUAAUUCUAUUUGGCAUAGCCCCGUUUGUCUCACUCGUAAGAAAGACAACAGUUGGCGAUUUUGCGUUGAUUAUAGAAGGGUCAAUGCUUUUACUUCCCCGAUGCAUGCUACGCUUGGAAACAUGCAUGAUGUCUUUGAUACUAUGGGAGAAAUGAUACCACAGAUAUUUAGUUCUAUUGAUUUAUCUUCAUCAUUUUGGCAGGUGCCCUUGCACCCAAAUUCUAAACAAAAAGCUGCGUUUGUAACUCAUUCCGGAAUCUAUGAAUGGAAUAGAAUGCCGUAUGGUCUACGUAAUAGCAGUAUAGCUUUUUUCUCAGGUCAUGUCACAAAUAUUAAGAGGAUUGCACUGGAAGUAUGUACUUGCAUAUAUUGAUGAUAUUUCACGAUGAAUGAUUGAUCAAAACCAACCUCUAUUUCAGCUCAUAUAAGGACAUCAUUCGUAAAUAUAGCUCAACAUGCAGACUUCUUAUACGUUCAGGUAUUUUACAUCCAAUAUUUUAUGGAAAUAUUCUUUAUAAAGCACAAAGGUGUCAGUAUUCACCUCAAAAACUAACAAAACCUUUGAAUAGACUUACUAAGAAGGGAUAUAGUUACGAUACUGUUGUCAGGUCAUUAAAGAUUGCAUAUUUUGGCGUUAAUAUUGAUUCACUUAUAGGGUCUUUGCAUCGGAACUAAACACAUUUAUUCAAAAACCAGGUGUUGGCAUGACACGGGUUAUGUUCUUCUCAUAUAUGUUAUGAUGGUAUGAUACUAAACCCCUAACGGGAAGGAUUGUGCCUGAUGUUCAUAUGAUGAAAUCAUAAUCUUUCAGUCAGUUUAAUUGAAGUUUGGAGUUGGCAUGUCAGUUAACUGCUAGUAGUCUGUUGUUAUUUAUUGUAUUAUUGUCAUUUUGUUUAUUUCUUGGUUACAUCUUCUGACAUCAGACUCGGACUUCUCUUGAACUGAAUUUUAAUGUGCGUAUUGUUAUGCGUUUACUUUUUCUACAUUGGCUAGAGGUUAUAGGGGGAGGGUUGAGAUCUCACAAACAUGUUUAACCCCGCCGCAUUUUUGCGCCUGUCCCAAGUCAGGAGCCUCUGGCCUUUGUUAGUCUUGUAUUAUUUUAAUUUUAGUUUCUUGUGUACAAUUUGGAAAUUAGUAUGGCGUUCAUUAUCACUGAACUAGUAUAUAAUUGUUUAGGGGCCAGCUGAAGGACGCCUCCGGGUGCGGGAAAUUCUCGCUACAUUUAAGACCUGUUGUUGACCUUCUGCUGUUGUUUUUUUUUCUAUGGUCGGGUUGUUGUCUCUUUGGCACAUUCCCCAUUUCCAUUCUCAAUUUUAUUGAAAAUAAUGAGGUUGAUCUGAAUGAUGUAUCAGAUAUUUCAAAAUUGCAAAGAGAAUGUGAUCAGUUGAUCCCAUUGAUAAAAUACCUUGAAACAGGCGAGUUGCCCGAAAAUCAAAAAGAGGCUCGCAACAUAUGUUAUGAACGAGACCACUAUAAGUCAAUCAGGUGAGUUAAUUCAUUUACAUAGGUCAAGAACAAAAGGGUUACCUAAAGCUGAAAGCAUGAUUGAACAAUUGGUUUUACCGAAAUGUCUAAGACAAGAUGCUUUGUUAGCAUAUCAUGAUCACAAUGGUCAUACAGGCAUCAAACGCACAUACGCUGGUAUACAUCUUAAAUAUUAUUGGUCAGGUAUGUAUCAAGAGGUUUAUAAUUAUGUGACGUCAUGUGAUAAAUGCCAAAGGUCAAAACAACCAACCCACCAUCGUCCGGCACCAUUGCUUCCCCUUCCUAUUGAAGACACUUUGUCUAUACCCAAAGUGGGAUGGUCCAUUUUAUGUAACUAAUGUUGGACAAAAUAAUACAUGUAAGUUAAGACGAUGUUCAGAUCAUAAGUUGAUUAAGUCUAGAAUACACACAAAUAGAAUGAAACCUUAUAUUAUUGACCCAAGAGAUCAUAGAACUAUUCCUGAUAUUCAAAGAGAUGUUAUUGAAAAUGAUAAAGAUAGAGUAGAUGAUAUAAAUGAUGUGCAAAAAGAUAAUAUAGAUAAAUCACAAAAUGAUAGUGCACAAAUGCAACAUAAUGAAGAUAAUGACUUCAUAGCAGAAAAAUUACUUGCCAAAAAGCGUAGGCAAGGCAAAAACUAUUAUAAGGUCAAAUGGGUAGGUUAUAAAAAGACUACCUGGGAACCUGAAGAAAACAUAGGUGAAGGUCUAUUGGUUGAGUUUUACACAAAAUUUACAAAAUCAGGCACGAAGAGAAAAAGGCCAGCUAGUUUACUUGUAAAACAGACAAAUCCAUAAAGAAAUAUUGAAUGUUAUGAAACAAAUGUAGUGUUUAAAUAAAUUUUAUAAGUCUUAAAAUAUCUGUCGGAUUCAAGCUACCAAUAAUGCAAUUUAGCUUUCUUAAGUGACCAAGUAACAUCACAAACUAUUAGUAUACUAACAAUUUAGGCCACUGAUAUUGAAUUAGGCCAAGUAUGAACCAUAAGAAUUUUUACUACUAUCUUAGUAGUAUUUAGAAUUAGUGCUCAGCUGUGUCAUGACCAGCUACCGUGAUUCAUCUUGACUAGUUUGACUUCAACUUCAAAAAUGCAUAUUACCACAAAACCUUAGGUUGGUCGCAUACUUUAGAACAAUAAGCUGUUUUGUGGUAAACUUGCACUCCAUAGUACAGAUAACUUAAAUAUGAUAGAAAUGAGAAAAGAAAAUAAUCAGCUUAAGAGAUAUAAGGAGCAUUAAAAUACUGAAAAUAAAAUAUUGUGAAGAAAAGUAGCUAAAAGUUACAAAUAGUUGAGCUGCCACCUGCAAGACAGGGUAAGAGCUGAUUUACGAAACCGAUUAUGACAAAUAUGUGUGAAAUGAUCUGAAAUAAAUUUUGUGUUCACUCGAAUACUUAUCAAAUAACGUUAUUAUAUAGCAAAGAAAAUACAAACUUGUUAAACAAAAUAUGGUAUGAGUAUGAAAGUUGUUUGUCUUGACAUUUAUGAAUUUAUGGCGUGUAAGCUUACUAUAAUUAUCAGAGUUUGCUUAAGCCUUUAGACGUAGCUGCACUCGCAACUAUUAUUUGAGUCAAGUAAGCCAAAUCUUGUAAAGUAUCUAGAUAUUUAAUUAUUUUACUUGUGAGACGUUGUUACUUUUUAAAAUAACCAAGUAUAUAGAUAUUUUGAUUUACGAAUAUACAAAACAUUGUAAAUAAUGAGUAAACAGAUGUUUGUUCUGAAUUUUUUUUCUUUGAUGAACAUAAAUUGUCUCAUAGCUAAGUAUGUUAUUACUGUGUAUCCAUAAGCUAACUUGUAAAGUGUCUGGAAACUUGAAUGUUGUUUUAAUUGCGCGACCUCGUUACCUUUUAAAAUAAGUAAUGAAUUUAGAUGACUUAAUUUACAAAUAUAACUAUGUACAAAACAUUGUAAAUAAUGAGUAAACAAAUGUUGAUUCUGAUUUUUUUUCUUUGAUGUACAUAAAUUGUCUUAUUACUAAAUAUGUUUUAUUGUUUAUGCAUAAGCUAACUAUUUCUUUUGUCGUUUCAUAUUCCUGAGUAUCCUGCAAAGUGAUUGGUCCAGGACUACAGCCUCGAAAAUUCAUCAUCUUAGAACUAAGAGACAGAUAAGAUCAUUUAAAGAGAAAUAUAGAUACAUCGUGAUACUAAUGUGAAAAUUGAUAGAAAAAAACUGUGUGAAAUAGUGUAUAUAGAACAAUUUGUUUCAAAUCCGUGGAUUUAUUCGAGACGGAGGAGACAGCCAGCACAUCAAGAUGACAGAAUAACCAAGAAACUUUGAACUAUUAUUGAUAUUAUGUGUUAUCUCAUAUUAAACCACAUAUGAUUCUACAAAGUAAUCAUCAUUAUUUUUUAGGGACAAACAUUUUGAAACAAAGGGGUAAUAUAAUGAUGCAAAAAUGCGUGAUAUUUAAAGAUAAUAUUUAUUAAUAAAUUACAAAUAAAGCGUUGGUGAAUAAUGGAAAAAUGCACACAAGUUCAAAAGAAUAUUUAUCAUUUAAUUGUAAAAUUAAAUGACAAAAAAAAUUAACGUAAAUAAAAAAACAAAUUAAAGAAAGCUUAACUUGUUUAUAGAACAAUUUCCUAAAAAUAUAAAUGUAAGUGUUUAAUCUUUUUAGCAUAUUUGACACGACUGUUCAUUUAUGGCGCGUAUACUAUUGUCGGGUUUUAUAUUAUUGUUCGAUUUAUGACGCGAAAUAAUUGAUGUAUAACUAUGAUGGAAAAGUAAUGUAAUCUGUAUUAUAACUGUUGUAAAUAUUAGAUUAGACUGUGAACCAGAAUAAAAUGUAGUUAGCAGACUGGAUUGUCUUUUAUAGGUCCCGUUGUCAUGCCGAGUCCAAGCUAGUUCCCAAAUUAUGUAACAUCAAUGUGAGCAGUUCCCC